AUGGAGGGUCCUUACUUUCCCGUUGGCCGGCCUAGAAGGGGCUUAUGUAAUGGUGUGAUCAAUUACCACUGCUUCAAGGUUGAUAUGUUUGUGGGUGUCAUUGAUAGGCAAAUCAGUGAGCUGAAUGGCAGAUUUGAUGAGGUAAACACGGAGCUACUUUCUUGCAUGGCAGCAUUCUGUCCACUUCAUCUAUUUGCUGCUUAUGACCAAGAUAAGUUGGUUAGGCUUGCUACAAAGUCUUAUGCUUCUGAUUUUACAAGUGAUGAACUGGCAAGACUUUCAUGGCAACUAAACAUGUAUGUUAUUAAUGUGCGUAGAGAUGAAAGGUUUCAAAACCUGAAAAAUCUGUGUCAGCUUUCAGUUAUGCUUGUUGAGACAAACAAGCAUGAACAAUAUCAUAUUUUUUACAAGCUUCUUAAGUUGGUAUUGAUUCUGCCAGUAGCUACUGCUAGUGUUGAAAGGAUGUUCUCUUCAAUGAGCCAUGUGAAGAAUAAGCUAAGGAACAGAAUGGGUGAUGAAUAUUUGAACAAUUGUUUGGUUACAUUUGUUGAGAGAGAAUUUUUCAAUCAAGUGAAGGAUGAAGAUAUCAUCAAUCUCUUCCAAAAAGGCGACCGCAAAGUUAUAUUGUAA
rnacentral:rRNA from 1 species